rnacentral:lncRNA from 1 species
ACACAACCCUCAAACUCCCUAAAGUUCUUGAUUUUAAACAAAUCAUGUCUUGCUUUAUAAAAUAAACUCAAUGAACCUUGCUAUCUCCUCAUGGUGAACAUUCCUUUCAUAUGGUUGGCUUGCAUAUUCUUUAUUUCUCGCUUAUAUUCCUAUCACUUGUGAACAAUUUAUCAUCGGGAAAGCAUGUCAUCUAAGUACUUAGGAAUUUUAUCUUGCAAAUAAAUAAAUAAAUAGCUUGGAUCCUCAAGGAUAUGACAAAUUCCUACCAAGGUCAUAUGUUGAUCUCAUUGAAAACCUUAUACAUAUGCUACUUGUUUUUGCAUUGAGCUUUGUCAAACUGUUGUGACCUGUGUGAGAAACUUUUUAUAUUUUCAUGAUCAAGAUCACGU